AUUGAACGCUGGCGGCAUGCUUUACACAUGCAAGUCGAACGGCAGCGGGUCCUUCGGGAUGCCGGCGAGUGGCGAACGGGUGAGUAAUGCAUCGGAACGUGCCCAAUCGUGGGGGAUAACUAUCCGAAAGGAUAGCUAAUACCGCAUACGCCCUGAGGGGGAAAGUGGGGGACCGCAAGGCCUCACGCGAAUGGAGCGGCCGAUGUCAGAUUAGCUAGUUGGUGAGGUAAUGGCUCACCAAGGCUAUGACGGAUAGGGGACCUGAGAGGGUGACCCCGAACGAUGGAACUGAGAUACGGUCCAUACACCUACGGGUGGCCGCAGUCGAGAACCUUCCGCAAUGGACGAAAGUCUGACGGAGCGACGCCGCGUGAUGGAUGAAGACCCUCUGGGUCGUAAACAUCUUUUGUGAAGGAGAAAGGAUAAGCAUUUAUGCUUAUCUUGAUAGUACUUCAAGAAUAAGGGGUUGCUAAACUCGUGCCAGCAGCCGCCGUAACAC
rnacentral:rRNA from 1 species